GAUGAACGCUGGCGGCGUGCUUAACACAUGCAAGUCGAACGGAAAGGCCCAAGCUUGCUUGGGUACUCGAGUGGCGAACGGGUGAGUAACACGUGGGUGAUCUGCCCUGCACUUCGGGAUAAGCCUGGGAAACUGGGUCUAAUACCGGAUAGGACCACAUCUUGGAUGGUGUGGUGGAAAGUUUUUCGGUGUGGGAUGAGCUCGCGGCCUAUCAGCUUGUUGGUGGGGUAAUGGCCUACCAAGGCGUCGACGGGUAGCCGGCCUGAGAGGGUGUACGGCCACAUUGGGACUGAGAUACGGCCCAGACUCCUACGGGAGGCAGCAGUGGGGAAUAUUGCACAAUGGGCGCAAGCCUGAUGCAGCGACGCCGCGUGGGGGAUGACGGCCUUCGGGUUGUAAACUCCUUUCGCUAGGGACGAAGCGCAAGUGACGGUACCUGGAGAAGAAGCACCGGCUAACUACGUG
rnacentral:rRNA from 1 species